rnacentral:ncRNA from 1 species
AAAUCUUAAUUUUCCUAAAUAAAAACUAACUAGACGAUAUAAUUUUUUGAAUAUCGGCUCCUUAAAACAUUACUGUUUUAGUGGCAAAUGGGGAAAAUUGCAAGAACGUCUAUAUUAUUUACCAUCCUAAUAAGAUUACUUGCAGCGGAGCUUGACUCGGUAUUUCUUUAGAUAUUGCACCUUCUAAAUUAAAGGGUCAAAAACGUUCAACGACUAAGGAGUGAGUUAUACCAACAAUAAGCUCGACACGAAAACCCCACAACCUUAUGCGCCCGCCCCCUCCCCUUUAGGGGCGGGAGAGAAGGCUAGAGGUUGAAGACAUAGUCUAAACAUCGUUAACCGAUGAGG